GUCCACGCCGUAAACGAUGAGUGCUAGAUGUCGGGGGACAUAGUUCUUCGGUGUCGCAGCUAACGCAUUAAGCACUCCGCCUGGGGAGUACGGCCGCAAGGUUAAAACUCAAAGGAAUUGACGGGGGCCCGCACAAGCGGUGGAGCAUGUGGUUUAAUUCGACGCAACGCGAAGAACCUUACCAGCCCUUGACAUGGAGGUCGCGGAAUCCAGAGACGGAUUCUUUCAGUUCGGCUGGACCUC
rnacentral:rRNA from 1 species